UGGGGGUGGCCGGGACGGGGGCGGGCUCUCCGGGUCCCCAUUGGCUACGGCCCCCCGAACACCAGGGCUCCCCCCCAUCUACCCCUGACAACAGUCGGUCCGGCUUCCAGCUGCUGCAGCCAGCGCUCCUUCACCGCCUCUACAUCCAGCCGCCCCUUGCUCCAGUCCGGCAUGGCGACCCAGGUCCCCACAAAGGUUCCUCAGGAUCCUGACCCAUUUUACUAUGACUAUGACACUGUGCAGACGGUGGGCAUGACUCUGGCUACCAUAUUGUUCCUGCUGGGCAUCCUUAUUAUCCUCAGCAAGAAGGUGAAGUGCAGAAAGGCGGACUCCAGGUCUGAGAGCCCAACAUGCAAAUCCUGUAAGUCGGAGCUUCCCUCCUCAGCAAGGAUGAACUCAUUCUCCAGAGGAGAGAGCCACAGCCUGUGAAGAGAGGGGUCCCACGUGGGAAAAGAACGUUGGCAAUCAGAAUGAAGGCAGAGUUGAGCACUAGAGAAGCACCCGGAGGUGGCGGCGUGUAGAACCAGUCGUGGUCACCUCCACUGCAGUCCCUGCCUGAGAGCAGGAGCCUGAGGAUCGGGUGGAGGCGGUGGGGACCCCAGCCUGGCCCCCCUGGCAGCGCUCCCCUGAAUGAGCCGCCCCACCCACUCCAAGGCUGGAGCCGCUGCACCUCCCUAGGCCUUGGCAAUGACGACCCCCUGCAUCCCAGAUCCGGAGACUCAGGCCUCCAUCUCCUGGGGUCCUCGAGUCCACGCUCAGCCCCCCACCGUCCCGGGGUGCUGCUCCCCGUGACUACCCUGUCUCCUCUUAGAAGAUCCGGUCCCCUGCACCCUCGGUGUCUAUGUCUUGAGCUUAAUAAAUCUGCGUUUGGUUUUUCCCCCUC